GAAAUGCGAUAAGUAAUGUGAAUUGCAGAAUUCAUUGAAUCAUCGAAUCUUUGAACGCACCUUGCGCUCCUUGGUAUUCCUUGGAGCAUGCCUGUUUGAGUAUCAUGAGAUCUUCAAAGUAAAUCUUUUGUUAACUCAAUUGGUUUCUACUUUGGUAUUGGAGGUCUUUGCAGCUUCACACCUGCUCCUCUUUGUUCAUUAGCUGGAUCUCAGUGUUAUGCUUGGUUCCACUCGGCGUGAUAAGUUAUCUAUCGCUGAGGACACUGUAAAAGGUGGCCAAGGUAAAUGCAGAUGAACCGCUUCUAAUAGUCCAUUGACUUGGACAAUACUUUUAUGAUCUGAUCUCAAAUCAGGUAGGACUACCCGCUGAACUUAAGC
rnacentral:misc_RNA from 1 species